AGCAGAAGAGGUUUUGGGUUCCUCACCGAGAAGCCUCAGCCAGCCUGACUUGCCCAGAGCCUCCAGCAGACAGGGGAGAUCCUGAUCCAGGGUGGGCCACAGCCAGGAACUCCUGGAAGGGAUCCCUGGCCCACCCAGGUCAACACAACAGCAACCCCAGGAGCUGCUGCUCUGGGAUGGAAAGGCAGCAAGCCCCACAACACCUGGACAUGAUGGAAAGGACACUGGACUGAGCUCACCUGCCUGUGCAGUCUGUUACUGGGUGGGUGUAUCCAGUGUCUUGCCAGAAGCCUGGAGGCAAAGGAUCUGCUCUGACAUCCCAGACGCCAUCAUGCUUUGAGGAAGGAAAGGUACAGGUGGACAAACCCCUACAGCGAGGCUGUGCGGUGACUCGUAUCCAGGGGUCGUUUUCUCCUGACACCGGGGAUCCGAAGGCAGAAUCAGCUCUGCAGCAGCAGGUCUUAAGCCCAGGUGGGAGGACUUUGCCACCCACUGCAAAACAGUUCUCUCCGGAAUGGGACAGAAAACUAUCCACGUGUAUGCAACAGCACUGCAGAAAGUCUUGGGAUGAGCAAAGAAAAGAACAAACAGCCCAGAGGAAGGUGUGCUCGCUGUGAUGAAGAAUAUUUGGAUUACAAGAGAGGUCAGAUGAGUGCAAACCCUAUUGAAGCUGUAUGAGCAUUCAGUCUUGCUCGGUGCUGCAGGAGGAAUUGCGCUAAAACAUGAAAGUACUGUAAAAGUUCUUCUGCUACAAGAAAAAUCUGUGUUGCUGCAGAGGCAGUAGAUUGCAUAGGAAAAAGCACAAACACUCGAUCAAAACUAGUUCUGUGGUGUCUUUUAUGGGA